GCCUCCAUAGCUCAGUUGGUAGAGCGGCGCAUUCGUAAUGCGUAGGUCGCAGGUUCAAGUCCUGUUGGAGGCUCCA
rnacentral:tRNA from 1 species